rnacentral:rRNA from 1 species
GACGAACGCUGGCGGCGUGCUUAACACAUGCAAGUCGAACGGAAAGGCCCUGCUUUUGUGGGGUGCUCGAGUGGCGAACGGGUGAGUAACACGUGAGUAACCUGCCCUUGACUUUGGGAUAACUUCAGGAAACUGGGGCUAAUACCGGAUAGGAGCUCCUGCUGCAUGGUGGGGGUUGGAAAGUUUCGGCGGUUGGGGAUGGACUCGCGGCUUAUCAGCUUGUUGGUGGGGUAGUGGCUUACCAAGGCUUUGACGGGUAGCCGGCCUGAGAGGGUGACCGGCCACAUUGCGACUGAGAUACGGCCCAGACUCCUACGGGAGGCAGCAGUGGGGAAUAUUGCACAAUGGGCGGAAGCCUGAUGCAGCAACGCCGCGUGCGGGAUGACGGCCUUCGGGUUGUAAACCGCUUUCGCCUGUGACGAAGCGUGAGUGACGGUAAUGGAUAAAGAAGCACCGGCUAACUACGUG